AACGAACGCUGGCGGCAUGCCUAACACAUGCAAGUCGAACGAGACCUUCGGGUCUAGUGGCGCACGGGUGCGUAACGCGUGGGAACCUGCCCUUAGGUUCGGAAUAACUCCCCGAAAGGGGUGCUAAUACCGGAUAAUGUCGUCGGACCAAAGAUUUUUCGCCUUUGGAUGGGCCCGCGUUGUUUUAGCUAGUUGGUAGGGUAAAAGCCUACCAAGGCGUGGAUCCGUAGCGGGUCUGAGAGGAUGAUCCGCCACACCGGCACUGCGGCACGGACCAGACUCCUUCCGGACGCCGCAGUGGGCAAUCUUGGAGCAUGGGGCAUAACCUUAUGCAGCAACGGCGCCGCAGCGAUGCAGGGCUUAGGGUUGUAAAUCAAUUUUACCCGGGACGGUUAUGACAGUACCGGGAGAAUAAGCUCCGGCUAACUCCGUG
rnacentral:rRNA from 1 species